rnacentral:rRNA from 1 species
GUCUGUAACUGACGCUGAGGCGCGAAAGCGUGGGGAGCAAACAGGAUUAGAUACCCUGGUAGUCCACGCCGUAAACGAUGAGUGCUAAGUGUUAGGGGGUUUCCGCCCCUUAGUGCUGCAGCUAACGCAUUAAGCACUCCGCCUGGGGAGAACGGGCGCAAGACUGAAACUCAAAGGAAUUGACGGGGGCCCGCACAAGCGGGGGAGCUUGUGGUUUAAUUCGAAGCAACGCGAAAAACCUUCCCUGGCCUUGACUUCCCCA